rnacentral:ncRNA from 2 species
AAAGAAAAGCGCCAGGACUGUAAUUUUACAGUUGACGAGGACCAGGUUUUUCGAAAGAUUCGGCGGGUGACCUGGAGGCUGGAUACGGCCUGAAACAAUGGACAAAAACAGUCUGUGAAGAUUGAACAAAU